CAGAAUUGCUUUAUCCGCAACUUCUUCAGGUCAACGAUGCAGGCUUUACUUAUAGCCAAAAUAUCAGACAUUUCACUUGGUCAGAAAAGAUUGAUUAUGUUUGAAAUGGCUCAUAAUUAUUUCCGUUCGAUAGUGGGCAUGCCGUUUCAUUCGUGGUCACCGUCAUUGGCACAAACAACACUGUUUGAUAUUUCUUGCCUGGUUUUCUUCUAUUUUCCUAACUCUUGAUUUAAACGUUCGUGCCGGUUUGUCCUCAAAGGGGGGAUGAAUGAUUUAACGUCUCUUCGGACGAUUUAAUAUUCCUUCAAAAGCGUGCCUCAGGCGAUUCGAUGUUUUUUACCACCCAUAUGUUGUAAACACCUAGCUAUUUGCAACGGGUGCAUUUGACGGACGGAAUUCUCAGUCUUUAGGACUCCGAAGGUGAAAUCAUACUUCAGUUGUUUUUGUUGCUAUACAGAUUCGCCCGAAAUGACACUUCUUCGCUAACGAGAGACGGUAACGAUUCUAGAGCCAAAAUUAUAAUCCAAGCGUGCGUGAACGGUCACCAUGUUUAUUUUGCGCUGAAGGUUAAGUGCGCCUCUCGAAAUUCGCGGCAACGAUCUUUUUUAUCAAUUUAUAUACCAAAGGCUGUAACAUCGUCGCACCUUAUUUCACGCCAAAUAUUUUCAUCUGUAGUAAACACAUUCUCAUUUUUGAAUAUUCAAUAUUACAUAACAACGAAAUUCGCUUCUGAAAGUUUCUGAUGAGAAACGAUGAGAUGAUGCCGAUACCCGACUACUCGGCAGAUGAUGGAUGAAAAAAAGUUAAAACAAAACGCACGAGCAAAACGUGAAAUACGUUGGACUUUAGCUUCCAUUCAAGAUCGGCUCGUUAUAGUUUCGAUCCUCAGAACGGACGACGAGACGAGCAUUGAGCUGCAACGCCGUUUAUACGCCGGGCGACACUGGAUCGCUGGAUUGAUGGCAGAUUGAUUGAUAUUCCAACGCCGUGUAACCUGUCGACCGAGGAUGCGACGCGAUGUCCACUUCCAGUCCGCCAUUCCCGUUUCAUUCCUGUGUGGAUACCAUGCUUAUGGAACAUGUUUCGAGGUGGAUGCAGAGCGAAAAUUUUGGGACACCGGAACAAAGUAUGCAAAAGCGGCGAUCAACGUCCGACGAGACUAAGGUGCCUGGCAUUAGCAGCAAGUAUCCGGAUGCCACGUGCAACGUGCGUUGACAGAGAACUUUGAACAGGCAAUACAUUAUGUAUGCGGACUCGCAGGCUUCAUCAGUGACAUAUGACGGCUAGGAAUGUCGCCAUAUAUACAGGAAACAUUUACGUUGGUUAUACGCAGAAUUGAACGGAGGUGGAUGCAUGAUGGUGAAAGAUUGUUACUGCCUGGGACUUGUACAAGUGAGCAGAUGAAAGCCUGCAGGGAUGUCGGACAGCGGUGAGGGCGACAUACCUGCCAUGUGUUAUACGCAUUAUAUGCAUGCAUGUAUGGAUAUUAUACGACGUGAGUCUACGCGGAACAAGGGACACUCGAUCCUUGGUUCUCGGAAGGGGACUCCAGUUACGAAAUAUCUUAUACAUGCCUGACAAUGUCGUUUAGAAAGAGCAAAAUGAUUUUGGGAGGUGAGACGAACCUUCUCGAUGCAGGAUUUAAGGGGGCUGCCCAAGGUCCCUGUAACUCAAACGCGAAAACGGGCAUAACGGUCCCAUUCUAUAUACAAUUUUGUACAAAAAUACUCCAAUGUAUUUUUAUUCGAUGGAGAAAUAAAGUAAUGCCAUGAAUUCUACGAAUUUACUAUUGCGAUUUCAAUAUCGUGCUUGAUAAAAUUAAGUAAAUAAUCGGUAACUGGCAACCGAAAGCAAUAGCUAGA
rnacentral:lncRNA from 1 species